rnacentral:lncRNA from 1 species
GUUGCUGGUUUCUAAAUGUCCCUUUUUGUCUGAAUCUUAGGAACUGCAUGCAAUCAUUGAUGGAGGGCUUGCAUUACUUCAAGUUGGUUUUUCAUUCAGAGUCCUCAUCAUUGACACAAUCUUGGUAACUUGGCCAAACUGAAGCCCAUUGUCUUGAUUGCUGGCUGGUGGCUUGUGAACUGGAUAGGGAAAUGACAUUCAUUCUCUGUUUUGUAUGUUAGACUUCUUUGUACCAAAAAGUCCCCUGCAAGUAAUGUUGCUGCAGAUGUAGUGUUGUUAUGGAAAAUGCACAUGUACUGCACUUUGUGUUCAAAGGUGACACUACUGAAGGAGAGAUUUUUAUCAUGGAGUGUGGUUGUGACUGAUAAAACCAACUGGGAACUAAAAACCCCAGUCCUUUGCUGACCUUUUGCAUUUAUUGCCCAAGUUCCCUGACGAAUGAUUUUUUUCAAGCUUCCACUACACCUACAGGGAGAAUCACUGUUGUAUUUCCUCCUGGCCUGGAAUCCAACUGCAUUCUUCCCAUAGGUAUUGAUCCUCAUAUACCUGGGUGUCAUGGAGUAAGAGUGAAGUUGCUAAGGAAAUUCUUGCUCUCACAAAGCUAGGUAAGAACAGAGAGAUCAAACUUCUCUGCUCUGGUGGUCCCCAGUGGGUGUGGCAAACUAAAAACCAGCAACGGUUACGAAAGAGUUUCCUGUGCAGUAUCAGCUGGACUAUCAUACUGUGAGCAGUUGCUCCGAUUUUGGCAGCCAGGACGGUUGGGUAACGGCAGAAGGUCUCUGGGCUCAUCAAUCUGAAUUUCCUGUCUUGGGGGAUUUUAUGCCAUAGAUGGCUGAGACCUGCUGCUGAUUGGAUUCCUGAAUUUCUGGUCCCAUUUGUCUCCUCCAGCACAAGCUGGGCCACUGGACCAAUUGCCCCCAGAAUUACUCCUCCGAACAGACACAUCAACCUCACUAUGGAGACUCAUUACAGUGAUUUUAGGAAGUUUCUGCCUUGUGCUCCUGGCAACAACAUGUGUCUUGACUACUCAGGGUAAGUAACUAGCGGAUGAUUCAAAGAUCAGUCCCCCAGUAAUGAACUGACUCAUUAUUUCCCUUAAUGAUUGACUUGACAUCAUAUUGCUCUUGAUUUUUGUAGUGCUCCAAGGAGCUUCUUCAAACAUCACCACCAACCAGACAGGUAGGUCACAUUUUCCUGUUUUAAAUAAACUCCUGGAGCAACUCAGUCUCCGGACUCAA